UACGUAGGGGGCUAGCGUUGUCCGGAAUCAUUGGGCGUAAAGAGCGUGUAGGCGGUCCGGUAAGUCGGCUGUGAAAGUCCAGGGCUCAACCCUGGGAUGCCGGUCGAUACUGCCGGACUAGAGUUCGGAAGAGGCGAGUGGAAUUCCCGGUGUAGCGGUGAAAUGCGCAGAUAUCGGGAGGAACACCUAUGGCGAAGGCAGCUCGCUGGGACGUUACUGACGCUGGAGACGCGAAAGCGUGGGGAGCAAACAGG
rnacentral:rRNA from 1 species